rnacentral:rRNA from 1 species
AGAGUUUGAUCAUGGCUCAGAGCGAACGCUGGCGGCAGGCUUAACACAUGCAAGUCGAGCGGGCGUAGCAAUACGUCAGCGGCAGACGGGUGAGUAACGCGUGGGAACAUACCUUUUGGUUCGGAACAACCCAGGGAAACUUGGGCUAAUACCGGAUAAGCCCUUACGGGGAAAGAUUUAUCGCCGAAAGAUUGGCCCGCGUCUGAUUAGCUAGUUGGUGAGGUAACGGCUCACCAAGGCGACGAUCAGUAGCUGGUCUGAGAGGAUGAUCAGCCACAUUGGGACUGAGACACGGCCCAGACUCCUACGGGAGGCAGCAGUGGGGAAUAUUGGUCAAUGGAUGCAAGUCUGAACCAGCCAUGCCGCGUGCAGGAAGAAGGCCUUCUGGGUUGUAAACUGCUUUUGCCGGGGGAUAAAAUUCCCAUGCGUGGGACAUUGAAGGUACCCGGUGAAUAAGCCACGGCUAACUACGUGCCAGCAGCCGCGGUAAUACA